UUGUGCUAGGCGGGGAGCUAGCGGUGCCCUGUACCCGAAAUCCGCUAUACGCGGGGCUGAAUCCCCCCUGAAGGGUUCGAAUUGAAGAUGUCGGUGUCAUUUUGAUCGGCCGCCAUGCAACAGGCUCCCAUGAACCUCGUCAGGUCCGGGAGGAAGCAGCGAUAAGUGGCGCAGUCUGUGUCGUGGAUCGAUCCCGAUCUUUUGGAUGACCUGUUUUUUCAUGAAAACUCGACAGGGGGUGCACAA
rnacentral:SRP_RNA from 1 species